GUCUUUGUGAAUUUGACCUCUGUUUUCCCAAUUCUGUCUUAUAUUAGUCUGCCUGUGGUGAAUUUGCUGUUUCAGGAAUUUAGCUAAAAGACUGUGCAGAAAUUUUAAGGCAUUACCUCCCGCCCUGCCCCAACACACAUCAACUCACUUUUCUACAGACAAGAUGAUUUUGGGCUUCCAGAUGAACAGAAGAGUUUCAAAUUUUGGCAAUUUGAAGUUUGGCGACUGUCUGAACUAGUCAAUCGACAUCACCAUGUUACAGAGGCAAGGACAGCUCACUAGAAAGUUGAUCUGAUGGCAGUGAAGCUUCACCAAAGACAAAUAUCCUGAAAGCAUAUGCAGAGAACUACUCUUAUGGAGAAUGACUCCCAGAUGGCAGUUAAUGUGAAUCCUGACCAUUGUCAAUGAAGUUGAUAAGAUGUGGUCACCUCCAAUUGGAAGUAAUUCCUCUGUUCACGGUAACUCCUUAAGUGCCAGUGUAUAAUCCCUUUUGAUUUCUCAGAAUUUCAUGACUUGAGAGUCACCUGUCUUAAACAGAGGCAAGCUUCUCAAUAUUUCCCCAUUGAGUCUCGCACGUACGUGUGUAAGUGCAUGUGUCCUAUACGUACCACUUGAAUUGUUAAUCUAAGUUUUCCAUGGAGAGACAUGGUCUGAUUCUUUUAUAACUAAUUUCAGUUCUUUCAGAGCUGAUCACCAUUAUUGAGCCUACCCAUCGAAUUAAGAUAAAACAGCAUGAUUCAACAUAGAAAAAUGUCAACUGUGAACAUAAGGGAGCUGAAAUAACCAAUCCUAAUCUGGCAAACACCCAAGGCAUUCCCCAUAGCAACAGAGCUGAUGGCAUGGCAACAGCAGCUGCU
rnacentral:lncRNA from 1 species